GGAGACUGGAGUGCGUGGUGACUGUCUGCGUUUAGUGCCUCUGUCUGUCUGUGUCUUGCAGUCUGAACAGUGGUGCUCACCCCACACCUACAGCCACAGAUACACUGGAGAUCAUAGUACUGGUCUAGUGAUGUCUUCUGAACAGCCUACCACUGGCCAGCCUCCAAACUCUCCCACAAUC